rnacentral:rRNA from 1 species
AUACGGAGGGUGCGAGCGUUGUUCGGAAUUAUUGGGCGUAAAGCGCGUGUAGGCGGUUUGCUCAGUCUGAUGUGAAAGCCCUGGGCUCAACCUGGGAAGUGCAUUGGAUACUGGCAGACUUGAGUACGGGAGAGGGUAGUGGAAUUCCCAGUGUAGGAGUGAAAUCCGUAGAUAUUGGGAGGAACACCGGUGGCGAAGGCGGCUGCCUGGACCGAUACUGACGCUGAGACGCGAAAGCGGUGGGGAGC